rnacentral:rRNA from 1 species
AGACAGAGGGGGCAAGCGUUGCUCGGAAUUACUGGGCGUAAAGGGCGCGUAGGCGGGAUGGCAAGUCGGUCGUGAAAGCCUUCGGCUCAACCGAAGAACGUCGGCCGAUACUGCCGUUCUUGAGGGAUGCAGAGGAGACUGGAAUUCCCGGUGUAGCGGUGAAAUGUGUAGAGAUCGGGAGGAACACCGGUGGCGUAGGCGGGUCUCUGGGCAUCUCCUGACGCUGAGGCGCGAAAGCGUGGGGAGCAAACGGGA